AUUGAACGCUGGCGGAAUGCUUCACACAUGCAAGUCGAACGGCAGCACGGACUUCGGUCUGGUGGCGAGUGGCGAACGGGUGAGUAAUGUAUCGGAACGUGCCCAGUCGUGGGGGAUAACGUAGUGAAAAUUACGCUAAUACCGCAUACGAUCUAUGGAUGAAAGCGGGGGAUCGCAAGACCUCGCGCGAUUGGAGCGGCCGAUAUCUGAUUAGGUAGUUGGUGGGGUAAAGGCCCACCAAGCCAACGAUCUGUAGCUGGUCUGAGAGGACGACCAGCCACACUGGAACUGAGACACGGUCCAGACUCCUACGGGAGGCAGCAGUGGGGAAUUUUGGACAAUGGGCGAAAGCCUGAUCCAGCCAUUCCGCGUGCAGGAUGAAGGCCCUCGGGUUGUAAACUGCUUUUGUACAGAACGAAAAGGUUUCCACUAAUACUAGGAGCUCAUGACGGUACUGUAAGAAUAAGCACCGGCUAACUACGUGCCAGCCGCCGCCGUAA
rnacentral:rRNA from 1 species